rnacentral:rRNA from 1 species
UACAGAGGUCCCAAGCGUUGUUCGGAUUCACUGGGCGUAAAGGGUGCGUAGGUGGUGAGGUAAGUCGGAUGUGAAAGCUCGGAGCUCAACUCCGAAAUGGCAUUGGAAACUACCUAGCUCGAGGGUUGGAGGGGGGACUGGAAUACUUGGUGUAGCAGUGAAAUGCGUAGAUAUCAAGUGGAACACCAGUGGCGAAGGCGAGUCCCUGGACAACUCCUGACACUGAGGCACGAAAGCUAGGGGAGCAAACAGG